rnacentral:pre_miRNA from 1 species
UAUGUACUCCCUCCGUCCGGAAAUACUUGUCAUCAAAAUGAAUAAAAGGGGAUGUAUUUAGAUGUAUUUUAGUUUUAGAUACAUCUCUUUUUGUCCAUUUUGAUGACAAGUAUUUUCGGACGGAGGGAGCAUAAU